rnacentral:sRNA from 1 species
UGGGUCCUGUUGUUGGCCUAAUGCCGCAUUUCUUUUGGAUCCUGCAAGUACCUACCAACAACAGGAUCCAAACGAAAUACUCCUAAGGCUAACAACAGGACCUCA